GAUCCUGGCUCAGAUUGAGCGCUGGCGGAAUGCUUACACAUGCAAGUCGAACGGUAGAGGGGGCAACCCUUGAGAGUGGCGAACGGGUGAGUAAUAUAUCGGAACGUGCCCAGUCGUGGGGGAUAACGUAGCGAAAGUUACGCUAAUACCGCAUACGAUCUAUGGAUGAAAGCGGGGGAUCGCAAGACCUCGCGCGAUUGGAGCGGCCGAUAUCAGAUUAGGUAGUUGGUGAGGUAAAGGCUCACCAAGCCGACGAUCUGUAGCUGGUCUGAGAGGACGACCAGCCACACUGGGACUGAGACACGGCCCAGACUCCUACGGGAGGCAGCAGUGGGGAAUUUUGGACAAUGGGCGCAAGCCUGAUCCAGCAAUGCCGCGUGCAGGAUGAAGGCCUUCGGGUUGUAAACUGCUUUUGUACGGAACGAAACGGUGAGCUCUAAUACAGUUUGCUAAUGACGGUACCGUAAGAAUAAGCACCGGCUAACUACGUG
rnacentral:rRNA from 1 species